UAGCACCACAAAACUUUGACUCCAAUCAAAAUUUUACUUCUGUAAUAUCCUUUGCUGUGUUAGUUUUUUCUUCUUUAAGUAGGAAAUAGAUUUACUUCUAGUUUGUCUUUUGCUCUUGUUUUUUAUUUAUUUAGAAGAACAAAACUUGUGUCUUAUCUCAAUCAAACACUCAACUUUUUCAAAAAAAUAAAAAAUUCGACCUCAUUUAUUUUCUGUAAAUUUUAGCAAAAAUGGAAAAAAUAAAAAAGAUUUGGGUCUGUCAGACAACCGUGUGACCACCCCAGCCAGUGGAUACUAGCUGAGAACGAUCCUCUACUGUUCAUUUGGUGAACCCGAAGGUUAGCCAGUGAACUGUUAAUCACGCUCUGAUCACACGGUCAUGGUUCAUCAACCAGACUUUGGUUCCUGUCUCCUUAGAACUCAAGGAUACAGUUGUACGAGCCUAUAGAACAGAUCCUGUUCAAGUAAGGUCGUGACCAAAUGUCUCUAUGUACCCGUAUAUAAACAUUAAGAUAUAGUUUGGUGCUAGCUGUGUGGGACUUCAUGCGGUUAUCCUGGUUAUUGUGACUUUUGUUGUGUAACAUGAUGUCACUAUGCCCUUCAUGGCAUUGCAAAACGUUGGAGAAAUUCAUCCAAAUUCCCAUGUAUUUGAUUCCGAAGUUCUUGAAAUCUUAUAUAAAUGACUCAAAAAGGUAAAACUUUUGAACUGGAUUGAGGGCCAAUUAGAAGGUUGGGAAAUUAGAGGCAAUAGAUAGAUUUAUAUAGUAUUGUGUAAUCAAAGAGGCUAGAGACUCUCCCAGCUCUGUCCUUUGGGGGAGUGGGAGAUCGAUGUUGAUCAUUCAACCAAGGAAAAGUUGAAACGUUGCUGUUUUCCAAGGCUCCACGUAUUCUUUGGUCCUAAAACUAUAAUUUUGAUAAAGCAAACCAAAACAUUUUGAGAAUAUCUAUGUCUUCCUCACUUCACCGUUGUUCUUUCUUGCAUUCCCACAAAACACGGAAGAGCUUGGAUGCAUGCUGUCUGUUGCUGAGGCUGAGCAGAAGACUUGUGUUAUUUCGGUCUGUUUUAGCAUCGCAGGCUGUCUCAAGUCCCACAUCGGUUAAACCUGCAAUAAUACAAGUGUUUAUAAAGAAGCACCUAGCAGUAGAGUUUGUCCCUUCGGGGAUAUCCGAUAAAAUUGGAACGAUACAGAGAAGAUUAGCAUGGCCCCUGCGCAAGGAUGACACGCACAAAUCGAGAAAUGGUCCAAAUAUUUUUGUCAAUCCAUUCUUCUUCCCCUGGAUUUUAUUUGAUUUUGAUUCUCUCAUGAAACUUGGAUAUUUCUACUCCCUUUUAUUUAAACUGAAGCUGCAGAAGAGUGUAAGUUUUAUUUUCUCUUUGAAAUUUGUCAUUUUUCCUGGAUAAAUUCUAAGCAUUUUCCAGUUCUUUUUGUAUCAUGUUUUUUCCUAGGGUUCAUGAGGGGUGAAUACAGUUUUUUAUUGAUAAAUUACAUGAUCAUAAGCUCAGCACACAAAAUUACAAGUUGUCAUUUGGAUGCUAUUUUUCAUCAUAAAUAUCAACCUAUAGGAUUCAGGAAACUUUGAUAUGGUUGAAAUGCAUGUUGACUUUGGAUGACAUGGAAAAAUGAUAUAUAAAGUGUUUAAAUUGCUUUAUUGAAGAAUAUCAACAUGAGGUACUUUUGCUGAGUAAACUAGUUGUCAACUUGUCAUUAUAGUACUUUUGGGUUUGGUUUGUUAAAUACCAUUGGCUACAUAUAUGCAAACUCAUGCUGCAAAAGAACUAGGAAAGAAAUUUAUUUGGGUGUGCCUUUCACUGCUGAGUUGCUUGGAAACAAAGAGCACUCUAUCAAAUCCCAAGUUGAAGGCGCAAAUGUGGGCAAAUAAAUUUUUGUUUUUGUUUUGGCUCUCUUAUAAUCUUAUUUGCUUACCUUUUUCUGUUGCAUCAUAUUUUUUCAACAGAUGUGCUUUUCUUCCUUUUUUUUCUAAAUAAAUGGAAAAGAUUUGGGUCUGUCAGACAACCGUUUUUUUUCUAAAUAAAUGGAAAAGAUUUGGGUUUGUCAGACAACCGUGUGACCACCCCAGCCAGUGGAUACUAGCUGAGAACGAUCCUCUACCCUCCAAUUGGUGAACCCAAAGGCUAACCAGUGGACUGUUAAUCACGCUCUGAUCACACGGUCAUGGUUCAUCAACCAGACUUUGGUUCCUGUCUCCUUAGAACUCAAGGAUACAGUUGUACGAGCCUAUAGAACAGAUCCUGUUCAAGUAAGGUCGUGAUCAGUUAUAUCACCGUGUCAAUAUAUAAACCUUAGGAUAUAGUUCGGUUCUAGCAGUGUGGGACUUUCAUGUGAUAAUCUGGUUGUUGUGACUUUUGUUGUGUAACAUGAUGUCACUAUGCCCUUCAUGGCAUUGCAAAACGUUGGAGAAAUUCAUCCAAAUUCAUUGUUGCCAUGUAUUUGAUUCCGAAGUUCUUGAAAUCUUAUAUAAAUGACUCGAAAAUUUUAGGUAAAAUGAGGCAUCAAGUGUCAGCCUCGUAGCAGCUAUAUAAGCUUCAAAAUGGAGAACAAAAAUAUCAUAAAUUUCAAUUGUUUAUAGGAUAGUCCUAGCAUUAUCCAUUAGCCAUAAGAAAGCAUAAAACCUUAUUCUUAGAACAAGAAUUCGAUACACGUGAAAGUAACAAGGUGGAAUAAGCCAUGGUGGUUUGGUUUGGUGUGAAAGCAAAACUAAACACCGAUGGUUUAGCCAUAAAAAUUAGAAAAGUGGAUCAGUAAUUAUGAAAAGUAAUAAAUCAAGAACAAUUUUAAUCUUACCAACAAUAUUACCCAGAUUUCUUAAGGUGUUAGGUAAUUAUUUGUUGUGUCAAUUCAGUUUAGUAUCUUACAUGGAAUAUCAUUUGGGUUAGAUCAUUCUCACCAGUCGCCAGAGAGAGAGAGAGAGAGAUUUGAAUUUGGAGUUAAUUAUGCUGAUAAUUAGUAGCUUGAUUUGAGGGGUUGCUAUAGUUAUGAUUGCAAGGGAUGGGGAUAUUGACUGCUGAAGGAAGUGUGUCCCAAGUCUUUUGGAGGAACAGGAUUUGAUGAGACUAAACCGAAUUGAGAAAUGGUCCAUGUAAGAUACUAAACUGAAUUGACACAACAAAACCCUAGCAAAAAAAAAAAGACACAAAAAAGAACGGGAAAUUGCUUAGAAUUAUUCCAGAAGAAAGAAAUGUCAAAUUUCAUAGAGAAGAAUGGAAUAUCCAAGUUUCAUGAGAGAAUCAAAAUCAAAAUUAAUUUCUUUCUAAUUUGGUGACUGGAUUUGAUGAGAAAUGGCAGACAUUCAGGUUCAUGAGGGGUGAAUACAAUUUGUUAUUGCAAAAUUACAUGACCAUAAGUUCAGAACACAUAAUUACAAGUUGUCAUUUGGAUGCUCUUUUUCAUCAUAAAUAUCAACCUAUAGGAUUCAGGAUUUUUUUAUAUGGUUGAAAUGUUGACUUUGGAUGACAUGGAAAAAUGAUUUACCUGGUCUCAAGUAUUUGAAUUGCUUUACUGAAGAAUAUCAACAUGAGGUACUUUUGGGUUUGUUCCGUUUGUUAAAUACCAUGGCUACAUAUAUGCAACUCAUGCUGCAAAAGAACUAGGAAAGAAAUUUAUUUGGGUGUACCUUUCACUGCUUGGAAACAAAGAGCACUCUAUCAAAUCCCAAGUUAAAGGCGCAAAUGUGGGCAAAUAAUUUUUUGUUUUUGUUUUUGGUCUCUGAAUUGCUUAGCUUUUUAUGUUGCAUCAUAUCUUUUCAACAGCUGCGCUUUUCUUCCUUUUUUCUAAAUAAAUUUAUUUUUCUAAGAAAAUAUUGACAUUGUCCCGAUGUUGAGUUUCUGUCUUAUAUGUUUUCUGAAUUUUCUUUAAGCACAUUGUUUUAUUCAUGAUUGAUUUAUCAGUCUUAAGUUAAGGGGUAGCUUGUGUUUUCUAGUCAUGAAUCAUGAUGUAUUUGGAGCAAUUCAUCUGGGUUGAUAUGUGCUAGAGACAAUGUAACAUUGAAUACUGUCAUGUUCUGAAUUAGGAUACAAACCAGAUGAGUAUUAGUUUAACUCCAUCUCCAUGUCCAAGGCAUAGCCUGAGUUUUUCAUGAGUAAGUUGUAAUUUAUUUUAACAUAAAUUACUUACUCCCUAUACCACACAUUGUUUAAGAUAUAAAACUAAUUUAAAAUGAAUCAUUAGAAUAUUAAUACCUUCAUAACUUCUGUUGCUUUGCCUUGAGGGAGGAAGCUGGUCUCUUUGUGUCGCUUUAGCUUUGCAUGUGAUGUCUUACUUCAUCUCAUGUCCCACACCAGUUGAGCUUAACACAUUAUUAGUGCUUAUAAACACUAAAGCUUGCUCCAUAGUCCAUAAACUUGGAACGAUAGAGAGAAGCUUAGUAGUUUUCUUUUUCUCAUUCAAAGUUGACAUUUUUUUCUUUCUUCUGUAAUAAUUCUAAGAAAUUUCCAGUUCUUCCUAUGUCAUUUGUUUUUCUAUAAAUUUGUGUUCAGUUUAUUAUCUUAGCAUUUGCGUAAGAUCUCACAAGUGGGCAGACGUAUUGAGAGAGAGAGAGAGAGAGAGAGAGAGAGAGAGAGAGAGAAUGGAUCUUUGGAGUUAAUUGUUCUGUUAGUUAGCUGUUCAAUUUAGGGGAGUGAUCAAGUCAUUAUAAUGACAGCAGGGGAUGUGAUAUGAGAGGUUGUAUGCUACCUAAAUACUUUGAUGGUUUCCUCACAUCCAUAGUAAUCAAGGAUUUAGUGUAAAAUCUUAGGCUGAUCUAACAGAAAAGAGGCCAAUCUCAUUAUCUAUAUGGCAUUCCACUAUCUGAUGAAAGGCUGUAGCUUAGUGAAAGGGGCUACAAGAGUACAUAAGACAUAGAAUUGAUGGAGAUUUUCCUACCUCAUAUAGCUAUCUUAUCUACCAAACUUUUUCUUUACUCAAUGUAUCAACGGACAACUGAUAUCUUGAACCGCUUGUUUCUCCAUGUGUGCAAUCUUCCUGUGUUUUUUGUUUUUCUCUUGUGACAUGGUCUCCCUUUUAAGUUUGUGGCAAAGGGUUUAACUCAAAGCAAUUCUCAAGGAGGGUGAUUUUGAGCCACAUUUUCACUAAGAAGAACACAACAAUCUCCAAUGAGGCAUGCAAGUGAACAAAAUCGUUGCUUAUGGUCCAGAGGGAAGAAGAGCUUGGAAGCAUGCUGUCUGUUGCUGAGGCUGAGCAGAAGACUUGUGUUAUUUCGGUCUGUUUUAGCAUCGCAGGCUGUCUCAAGUCCCACAUAGGUUAAACCUGCAAUAAUACAAGUGUUUAUAAAGAAGCACCUAGCAGUAGAGUUCGUCCCUCCGGGGACAUCCGAUAAAAUUGGAACGAUACAGAGAAGAUUAGCAUGGCCCCUGCGCAAGGAUGACACGCACAAAUCGAGAAAUGGUCCAAAUGUUUUUUAUUCUCUCAUGAAACUGGGAUAUUUUCACCAUUUUAUUUAAACUGAAGCUGCAGAAGAGCAUCUCACAAGUGGCCACAGAGAGGAAUUUGGAGUUAAUUAUGCUGUUAAUUAGUUGCUUGAUUUGAGGGGUUGCUAUAGUUAUGAUUGCAAGGGAUGGGGAUAUUGACUGCUGAAGGAAGUGUGUCCCAAGUCUUUUGCAGGAACAGUGAAAUUUCUUUCUAAUAUGGUGACUGGAUUUGAUGAGAAAUGGCAGACAUUCAGGUUCAUGAGGGGUGAAUACAAUUUGUUAUUGCAAAAUUACAUGAUCAUAAGCUCAUAACACAUAAUUACAAGUUGUCAUUUGGAUGCUACUUUUCAUCAUAAAUAUCAACCUAUAGAAUUCAGGAAAUUUUGAUCUGGUUGAAAUGUUGACUUUGGAUGACAUGGAAAAAUGAUUUACCUGGUCUCAAGUAUUUGAAUUGCUUUACUGAAGAAUAUCAACAUGAGGUACUUUUGGGUUUGUUCCGUUUGUUAAAUACCAUGUAAACUUUUGAUAGAGAAAUUGAAAGGAUCCAAUCGAGCACGGUUCAAAAGAGUCAAAAUUUGUAGGAAUUGAUAAAACUUUUUUGACCAAAAGUGUAUCCUGUGGUAAUCAAAUUCACCUUUUAUUUUUAUGAUUCUUUUAGAUAAAGAAAAAAUGGUAUGUUACUGCCAUUUUUUGGACCGAUUAAAGAUCCCGAAGUAAUAUUUAAACCCAAUGAUUCAAGGAAAUUAUAUAUAUGCAACUUAUGCUGCAAAAGAACUAGGAAAUAAAUUUAUUUGGGCACCUUUCACUGCUUGGAAACAAAGAGCACUCUAUCAAAUCCCAAGUUAAAGGCGCAAAUGUGGGCAAAUAAUUUUUUGUUUUUGUUUUUGCUCUCUGAUUUGCUUAGCUUUUUCUGUUGCUUCAUAUCUUUUCAACAGCUGCGCUUUCUUCUUUUUUCUAAAUAAAUUUAUUUUUCUAUGAAAAUAUUGACAUUGUCCCUAUGUUGAGUUUCUGUCUUAUAUGUUUUCUGAAUUUUCUUUAAGCACAUUGUUUUAUUCAAGAUUGAUUUAUCAGUCUUAAGUUAAGGGGUAGCUUGUGUUUUCUAGUCAUGAAUCAUGAUGUAUUUGGAGCAAUUCAUCUGGGUUGAUAUGUGCUACAGAGACAAUGUAACAUUGAAUACUGUCUGUCAUGUUCUGAAUUAGGAUACAAACCAGAUGAGUAUUAGCUUAACUCCUUCUCCAUGUCCAAGGCAUAGCCUGAGUUUUUCAUGAGUAAGUUGUAAUUUUUUUUAACAUAAAUUACUUACUCCCUAUACCACACAUUUUUUAAGAUCUAAAAUUGAUUUAAAAUGAAUCAUCAGAAUAUUAAUAUCUUCAUAACUUCUGUUGCUUUGCCUUGUGGGAGGAAGCUGGUCUCUUUGUGUUGCUUUAGUUUUGCAUGUGAUGUCUUACUUCAUCUCAUGUCCCACUCUAGUUGAGCUUAACACAUUAUUAGUGCUUAUAAACACUAAAGCUUGCUCCAUAGUCCAUAAACUUGGAACGAUAGAGAGAAGCUUAGUAGUUUUCUUUUUCUCAUUCAAAGUUGACAUUUUUUUCUUCUUCUCCAAUAAUUCUAAGAAAUUUCCAGUUCUUCCUGUGUCAUUUGUUGUUCAAUAAAUUUUUGUGCUCAGUUUAUUAUCUUAGCAUUUGGGUAAGAUCUCACAAGUGGGCAGAGGUAUUUAGAGAGAGAGAGAGAAUGGAUCUUUGGAGUUAAUUGUUCUGUUAGUUAGCUGUUCAAUUUAGGGGAGUGAUCAAGUCAUUAUAAUGACAGCAGGGGAUGUGAUAUGAGAGGUUGUAUGCUACCUAAAUACUUUGAUGGUUUCCUCACAUCCAUUGUAAUCAAGGAUUUAGUGUAAAAUCUUAGGCUGAUCUAACAGAAAAGAGGCCAAUCUCAUUAUCUAUAUGGCAUUCCAGUAUCUGAUGACAGGCUGUAGCUUAGUGAAAGGGGCUACAAGAGGACAUAAGAUAGAAUUGAUGGAGAUGAUUCUUGUGUGAGGUUGGGGGAAGACAAGUAUAUUAUGCUGCAGUAGGCAUUCAACGCGGCUAUACAUGAAAAUUUGAGUGUACUUUACUAUAAAGACUAACUUAUUCAUUUUCCUAAGUUAUUUUCACAUAUUUUAUGAGGAUUGGUUUAAUAAUUGGAACUUUUAAUAAUUGCGGUUUACUUAUUCAUUUUCCUAAGUUAUUUUCACAUAUUUUCUGAGGAUUGGUUUAUAAUUGGAACUUUUAAUAAUUGUUGUUUUAUAAGAAUUAAAAAUCUUGAACUAGGAUUGGUUUAAUAAUUGGAACUUUUAAUAAUUGUUGUUUUAUAAGAAUUAAAAAUCUUGAACUAGGUUUGGUGGGGUGCGCCAGGCCCUUGCAGUAGUGUAAGGCAUGGGCGACGCUCGAAGAUCCCAAUAGCAAGCUACUGCGGUGGACCCUCCCCCUUAAAAAAUUAAUUUAAUAUCGUGUGAGCCAUUGGCUCACAUAUCAGAUAUUAAACUGAUAAGAACAGAUACUACACUUGAUCUUAGCCAAAAGGCCGAGAAAGGUAUGCUUCUUCCACAGCCAUGUCUUUGCUUUUAUAUCCAAUGUAUGUGCUUUGAUAGUGCUGCACAGCCAAUGUGGGACUUGAAAGGUGAUGCACUGAGAAACAGAAAUACAUGAUACUAUACUCUUAUAGCAAGUGCAUAAUAUGGCAUCUGCGAGCCUGUUUGAAUUAUUCUUUCCAACUCUCUAUGAUGCUAUAAUCUUUUCAGGUUAGGGGUCUUCUUUUGGUAGCACUUGAUCAAGAUCCCAAGGUUUGGAUAGAUACCGGUGCUUGUAGACUCGUCAAUUGUGGGUGUCUGCAUUAAAGAAUAUGAAACUGAGGAUAUUGCAUGCUAUGUGGUCUGGUUUGUUCUGGCCUUCUAACACUCUAUAGCAGAUGCAUGCUGCCCGUUGAGGCUGUGUUAUUUGGGUCUUUUUUUAGCAUUCUCCAGUCCCACAUCGGCUAAACCUGGAACAAUACAAGUGUUUAUAAAGAAGCACCAAGCAGUAGAGUUUGUCCCUUCGGGGACAUCCGAUAAAAUUGGAACGAUACAGAGAAGAUUAGCAUGGCCCCUGCGCAAGGAUGACACGCACAAAUCGAGAAAUGGUCCAAAUUUUUUUGACAAUCCAUUCUUCUUCCGCUGGAACAUACAGUUUUCUUUAGAGUUGAGCCUAUAUGAAGUUUCUUUAUCCCAGAAAAUUGAAGAGACAGCUUAAGGGAACUACAAGGAUUUCUUUGCUAACCUUGGUUGCAAGAAAAGACUAAUUGACAUGAUCUCCUUUUUAAGUUUGCGGUUAUGGGAAACUCAAGGUCAAGAAGUGUGAUUUUGAGCCACAUUUUCAUCAUGAAGAACACAACACAACAAUCUCCAAUGAGGCAUGCAAGUGAACAAAAUCGUUGCUUAUGGUGCGGAAUGAAGGUCAUCCCAUCCCAUCCAUCUUUGAUCUUUCCAGCCAUUUCUUCCAAUGACAAGUUCAGAAAGGGACCAAAGCGAGACAUUUCCGCCCUUUCUCUGACAGUUUUGACAUGCUAAGUAUUGUGAUCAUCCCAUUGAAGAAGUUGAUGUUCAAACCCAGUUGAAAGACAUAUUUGAUGACACUUGGAUGGUUUGCAAGCGAGUGGCAAACUUAUCAUUGAACAACAUAAAAUCACACUUAGACUGUGUAUUCAAUCUCUCUUCUACAUUCUCCCCCCUAUAUGAAUAGAUUAUCAUGUGAAAUUGAAUUAGGCAAAAAUUAAUUCUUCCUCUGUCUCAACUCUCACGUGAUGCACUUUGUUGCAAGGGGUUAGAAAUAUGAGAGGACUUAAUUAGUGUGGUUAUGGAAA